GUUCUGUAUGGGCAGGUGCCUGAAGCCUUCUGGUAGUUUGGGUUGCCAUCCUACUGUUCCUGAAGUUUUAGCUCCCUGGAAUGAAGUAAUUUCUGCUGUGUAGAGCUGAAGCUGAAAGUCCCCCAAAGCAAGUGCCUUGACAGUGCUGGCUGUCUUGUACCAAGUGAAAAUGCUGCCUGCUGGCAGCAGAGUGACAAAUCAAGAAGAGGCAGAAAUCCAUCUCAUCCUGAAAGAAUCAAAGUCUUUCUCGAGGUUUUAGUGAGCGUGAAGCUUGGAUGGAGCAGUUUUUGGAUAUGGAGUGAGUUAUUGCACAGCUGGAUUUCACACCUCCUUGCAGGG
rnacentral:lncRNA from 1 species